rnacentral:rRNA from 1 species
UGGGGAAUAUUGGACAAUGGGCGAAAGCCUGAUCCAGCCAUGCCGCGUGAGUGAUGAAGGCCUUAGGGUUGUAAAGCUCUUUUACUCGGGAAGAUAAUGACGGUACCGAGAGAAUAAGCCCCGGCUAACUUCGUGCCAGCAGCCGCGGUAAUACGAAGGGGGCUAGCGUUGUUCGGAUUUACUGGGCGUAAAGCGCACGUAGGCGGAUUCUUAAGUCAGGGGUGAAAUCCCGAGGCUCAACCUCGGAACUGCCUUUGAUACUGGGGAUCUUGAGUUCGGGAGAGGUGAGUGGAACUGCGAGUGUAGAGGUGAAAUUCGUAGAUAUUCGCAAGAACACCAGUGGCGAAGGCGGCUCACU